AUGGAGAAGGAGGAGGCAGAGGGAUGUUGUGUGGUGAUGGGGUUCGUCUGAAUUGAACAGUGCCAGUGCAGCUGUGAACCACCAGCAACAGCAGCAGCAGUAGCGGCAGCGGCGGCAGAUACGUAUAUGGCUUCAUCAUGGCUUCAUCACCUGUGUGUGUGUAUGUGCGGAGACCGACAUCGUCAUCGUGACGGAGAGGGUGCAGCGACUGCGCGGCUUGUGAGCGUGUACCACCGAGAUGAAGACUGAAGCCACACGAGCACGGAGGACGCUGCGAGGAGAUGAAAGGAGCGAGUUAAUCACGAGUCAUUUCAUUUCAUUGAUCGCUGAUUCCCGCCCGGUCUGCACGCUGCGCCA